AUUAGAAAGUCUAAAAACAAAACCCUUUAUUUUGAAAAACAAACGACAAUGAAUCAGGUCCGACGGCGGGUUUUCCAACAUGCCGUACAAGGAGCUCUAGGAACUCCGAAUAGUUGUUUGAAUACCGAGUUACAUUUCUGUAUGAUAUGGUGUAUGUAG
rnacentral:rRNA from 1 species